GAUGAACGCUGGCGGCGUGCCUAAUACAUGCAAGUCGAGCGAAUGGAUUAAGAGCUUGCUCUUAUGAAGUUAGCGGCGGACGGGUGAGUAACGCGUGGGUAACCUGCCCAUAAGACCGGGAUAACUCCGGGAAACCGGGGCUAAUACCGGAUAAUAUUUUGAACUGCAUGGUUCAAAAUUGAAAGGCGGCUUCGGCUGUCACUUAUGGAUGGACCCGCGUCGCAUUAGCUAGUUGGUGAGGUAACGGCUCACCAAGGCAACGAUGCGUAGCCGACCUGAGAGGGUGAUCGGCCACACUGGGACUGAGACACGGCCCAGACUCCUACGGGAGGCAGCAGUAGGGAAUCUUCCGCAAUGGACGAAAGUCUGACGGAGCAACGCCGCGUGAGUGAUGAAGGCUUUCGGGUCGUAAAACUCUGUUGUUAGGGAAGAACAAGUGCUAGUUGAAUAAGCUGGCACCUUGACGGUACCUAACCAGAAAACCACGGCUAACUACGUGCCAGCCGCCGCAGUAA
rnacentral:rRNA from 1 species